GAUGAACGCUGGCGGCGUGCCUAAUACAUGCAAGUCGAGCGAACAGACGAGGAGCUUGCUCCUCUGACGUUAGCGGCGGACGGGUGAGUAACACGUGGAUAACCUACCUAUAAGACUGGGAUAACUUCGGGAAACCGGAGCUAAUACCGGAUAAUAUAUUGAACCGCAUGGUUCAAUAGUGAAAGACGGUUUUGCUGUCACUUAUAGAUGGAUCCGCGCCGCAUUAGCUAGUUGGUAAGGUAACGGCUUACCAAGGCAACGAUGCGUAGCCGACCUGAGAGAGUGAUCGGCCACACUGGAACUGUAACACGGUCCAGACUCCUACGGAAGGCAACAGUAGGGAAACUUCCGCAAUGAGCGAAAGCCUGACGGAGCAACGCCGCGUGAGUGAUGAAGGUCUUCGGAUCGUAAAACUCUAUUAUUAGGGAAGAACAAAUGUGUAAGUAACUAUGCACGUCUUGACGGUACCUAAUCAGAAAGCCACGGCUAACUACGUG
rnacentral:rRNA from 1 species